AUAUCACAAAAAAUAGUGUUUUAGUAAAACGACAAAAGUUUGAACAACCAGUCAUUGAAAUAUUUGUUGCUGUGACCUUACAUCUAGAGCCUAAUUUGAACGACAACUGCGAACAAUGGCCAUUCGUAAGACCUUCAUCAUCUGCGUCAGCAUCGUUCUGCUGCAAAUGAUGCUGCCAACCGACGCAAUGGCUGUCGACGGUGACCUUUCUGUGGACACUCAGAAUGUCGCUCGCGCCAAACGGGGAAAUAUUGAUAUACCCUGCACCAUCGCAUGCGCUGCGUGGUGGACGUGCUGCGCCACGAGUUUUCCCCGCUGUGCUAACUGUGGAGCGCAACCUGGUGGGUGCCAAUGCAAUGGAUUUGCCUGAGGCGCAUUUGGACCGACCGAAACGUUCACGCCAGAGAAUAGGAUGAAGUUCAAGAGUACUCGCAGAUAACCGUUAUUACUAUAUAUAUUAUUAAAUACAUAUAGUUGCUGAAAAACCAGUGAGAUGCAUUUCUUUUUAAAUUGUUGUUUCACUGGUGUAUCGUUAAUGUUAUGACGAUUAUGACAAUAAAAAUUUGAAGGGCCCUUAAUCACACAUUUACUGCCGUAAUGCUUGCUUGC